rnacentral:rRNA from 1 species
GAUGAACGCUGGCGGCGUGCCUAAUACAUGCAAGUCGAGCGAACAGACGAGGAUCUUGCUCCUCUGACGUUAGCGGCGGACGGGUGAGUAACACGUGGAUAACCUACCUCUAAGACUGGGAUAACUUCGGGAAACCGGAGCUAAUACCGGAUAAUAUAUUGAACCGCAUGGUUCAAUAGUGAAAGACGGUUUUGCUGUCACUUAUAGAUGGAUCCGCGCCGCAUUAGCUAGUUGGUAAGGUAACGGCUUACCAAGGCAACGAUGCGUAGCCGACCUGAGCGGGUGAUCGGCCACACUGGAACUGAGACACGGUCCAGACUCCUACGGGAGGCAGCAGUAGGGAAUCUUCCGCAAUGGGCGAAAGCCUGACGGAGCAACGCCGCGUGAGUGAUGAAGGUCUUCGGAUCGUAAAACUCUGUUAUUAGGGAAGAACAAAUGUGUAAGUAACUAUGCACGUCUUGACGGUACCUAAUCAGAAAGCCACGGCUAACUACGUG